rnacentral:rRNA from 1 species
CUUCGGGACGUUGAGACAGGUGGUGCAUGGUGUCGUCAGCUCGUGUCGUGAGAUGUUGGGUUAAGUCCCGCAACGAGCGCACCCUUAUUACUAGUUACUACGCAAGAGGACUCUAGUGAGACUGCCGUUGACAAACGGAGGAAGGUGGGGAUGACGUCAAAUCAUCAUGCCCUUUAUGACCUGGGCUACACACGUACUACAAUGGCUAUUAACAGAGAGAAGCGAGACCGCAAGGUGGAGCAAACCUCAGAAAAAUAGUCUCAGUCCGGAUUGGGGGCUGCAACCCGCCCCCAUGAAGCCGGAAUUGCUAGUAAUCGCGGAUCAGCAUGCCGCGGUGAAUACGUUCCCGGGCCUUGUACACACCGCCCGUCACACCAUGAGAGCCGGGGGGACCCGAAGUCGGUAGUCUAACCGCAAGGAGGACGCCGCCGAAGGUAAAACUGGUGAUUGGGGUGAAGUCGUAACAAGGUAACCGUAAAGGGCGAAUUCGGAGCCUGCUUUUGUACAAAGUGCAUA